rnacentral:rRNA from 1 species
UACGUACGAGGCGAGCGUUAUCCGGAAUUACUGGGCGUAAAGCGCGCGCAGGCGGACCAUUAAGUUGGGCGUGAAAUCUCCCGGCCUAACUGGGAGGGGUCGCCCAAGACUGGUGGUCUUGAGGACAGCAGAGGUGGGUGGAAUUCCUGGUGUAGUGGUGAAAUGCGUAGAGAUCCGGAAGAACACCGGUGGCGAAGGCGGUCUGCUGGGCAGUUGCUGACGCUGAUGCGCGACAGCGUGGGGAUCAAACAGG